AACAUCUUAGUUUCACAAUAUUAGCUAGCAGUCAUCAUCAUGAUUCAUGAAUCAAGUCUACUGGCAAAUCUUUUUUAAUUCUUGUCCUAUGAAGAGAAAUAAUAUAGAUAAAAACGUAUCGGUGCUCAUCGGCCAUUGAACAUAAACAUUACACAACAAUUUGGAAAUCGCUAAUUCAACAAUGAGUUGUUUGGAAGGAAUCAGUGACAUUGGCUAACCGCAAGCAUUGCAACUGGGAAGUCAGACUGGGAAAAUAUGUUUUGAACAGUCUACCAACUCGGAAUUGUAAUUAUUUUCUUUGAUGACAAAAUUUGCACAACUAGGUAGACUGUGCAUUGCCUCCGUGUGCGACUGCCUUGAGCAGCAGUUUGAGGGACUUUGCAGGAAAAUGCCAUGCAGUAAGGCGUAGGGGAUUGUUUACAGCAGGACGACCCCCAGUGGAUGGGUGCCGAGGGGUGUGGUGCUCCUCCAGCAGCUCUCAUGAGGUUCUCUCUGUACUUUUGGUGGUCUACCUUCCCUGUGGCCGACAUGGUUGCUGUAUGGAUAGUAGAAAGGACAUGGAUGUAUCGUUUGUCAUGUCACUUUACUGCCAACCGUUACCUGUUCUCCUGGAACUCCACCUCCCCCCUCUGCAUCUUCCUGCUUCCGAAUGCCGGCAUCCACUUCCUAUUCGACCGAACCGUGCCACAGGUCCCAGUGCUGUUGGAGAGCAGAAGCUGGAAGAGUGUAGGACUGUUGUACCAAUUCAAAUAAAUAUCAAAUGUUAUUGGUCGCAUACAGAUAAUUGGCAGAUGUUAUUGCAGGUGCAGCUAAAUGCUUAUGUUUCUUGCGGAAAUAGUGCAGUAAUACCUAACAAUACAAAACAAUACACACAAAUCCCAAGAAAUGUAAAGAAAGAAAUUAAGAAAUAAUACAAAGUGUGGCCCUUACCAAGAUGAGGGACGAGCAUGGUCCUCAUAAGCAUGGUCCUCAUAAGCCCCUCAUAACGUUGGAUAUCAGUGGUGGACCCUGUGUAGACUAUAAUGUCUUUGACAAAUCCUGCCUUCACUUCGCAUAUAACAAAGAACUUCACCCCAAACCUGUGCCUUUUAAAGUGAAUAUAUUGAUGGAAAACCAGCAUACCCUUCCAUAACAUCAGGGACUAACUAACUAACGUGCUUCUAUAUCUGCAUUGCUUGCUGUUUGGGGUUUUAGGCUGGGUUUCUGUGUAGCACUUUGUGACAUCUGCUGAUGUAAAAAGGUCGUUAUAAAUACAUUUGAUUGAUUGAUUGAACUAAUGCAGCAGCAUAGGUGAAUUCGCGUAGGAGGUUAAGAGAACGAGGUUAGGAAAAGGGUUAGGCUUAGCUACAAUCCAAGGGGCCAGGGUUCUGGUCUUGAAGCACGAUUUUGACUGCUCUUACAGUUUUGCUUUGGUACUGCAAUUUAACUGACUCCCGGCCCAGAAAGACAAUUUCCAUACACGGCCACAUAGAGAAGUCAGAUUUGAAAAUUCCUAAUAAGACACUUAAAACAUCCAUUGAAUUAUUUAAACUGAAUCACUCACAACCGAAGAUAUUAGCAUUUUAUAUUCAUUCAAUGCCUGCCAUGUUUUUGGAUGAUGUGAUGACGACUUUGUCGCUGCUCCCUGUGCGCAGUGAGUGCUACAGUAUGUUGGUCCUUAUUAACCGGAUGCAAAAUAGGAGGGGGGUGUAACUCUAUAUUAGGAAGGUGUUCCUAAUAUUUGGUAUACUCAGUGUAUAUACUGUAUUCUUGUCAAGGCUCAUCCUAUGUAUUGUAACUACUGCUCUACAGACUUUUUCUAUUUAUAUACUGUCCAUAAUAUUCUAGUGUCAAAAUUGUGAAGUGUAAAUAGUAUAAUUUUGGUCAUAAAGUCAGUCUCGUCCAAAAAGGAGAUGAUAGGAAAAUGUAUGUCACAGAAUGAAGGGUAAAUAACAGUUUUCUGUGGGCUGGGUUUAUUUUAUUCCUACCCACAUGCCCACAGCUGGCAAGUAAUCAUCAAUUCAGAGCGCAGCUGCACAGGACCCGAUCGUAAUGCCAUGGUCAAUUUGGUUUGACAUUCGAUAUCCCUAUGGGGUUAUUUGUACAUCUCACUGGGCACACACUGGUUGAAUCAAUGUUGUUUCCAUGUAAUUUCAAUUAAAUUACGUUGAACCAAUGUGGAAUUGACGUUGAAUUGAUGUCAGUGCCCAGUGGAAUGGGGCAAUAUUUUAAAAGGUAACAGCUCCAACUUUCUAUGACUUAAAAACCUCAAACCAACUUUAAAUUCAAGAAAGUCAUAUACAAAUAUUGAAAGCAUUUAAUGAGACAACUGAAAGAUGUGAAUUUACAUUGUGCAAUUUAUUGACAGUCCCUAAUUAUCCCCAGAGAUAGGCUAUCCAAAGUCAAACCAACUUUGCCACGGUUGCACACCAGCCCGUUGAAAAUAAUUGGCGAAAUAAUUUGGCUAACUCUUCCCACCUGCGAACACACAGAAGAGACACCCAAAACACCCCCCAAAACUAACUCAUGUUUGAAUUCAGUCAUGGUCGCUAGCAUUUGAACCAAAUCUAAAACGUGGCCAAAUGAGGAAUUGCAGUCGCCCUUUAACAAUUUACAGACAUUUUUUCAAAAACACAUUUACUGGAAGAACUGCGCAGAUGCAAAGUUUGGUAAAAGAAUUUCAGUAAAAUGUACCUGUUUUUUAUGUGACCACGUUUUCCAAAAAACUCAGUUAAAUAUCUGCUCUGUACUGAGAUACAAAGAUGUCUGCAGCAACAAAGGGGUGUCAGCUAUAAAAAUAAAAAACAUUUUUUUGUCGUCACAUA